rnacentral:rRNA from 1 species
AUUGAACGCUGGCGGCAGGCCUAACACAUGCAAGUCGAGCGAGCGGCGGACGGGUGAGUAAUGUAUGGGGACUGCCCGAUAGAGGGGGAUAACUACUGGAAACGGUAGCUAAUACCGCAUACUAUCGGAUAACCCAUAUGGGAUUAGCUAGUUGGUGAGGUAAUGGCUCACCAAGGCGACGAUCCCUAGCUGGUCUGAGAGGAUGAUCAGCCAAACGGGGACGGAGACAGGGCCAAAACCCCGACGGAGGAAGCGGGGGGGAAUAUUGCACAAUGGGCGAAAGCCUGAGGCGGCCAUGCCGUGUGUAUGAAGAAGGCCCUGGGUUGUAAAGUACUUUCAGUCGGGAGGCGUUACCGACAGAAGAAGCACCGGCUAACUCCGUGCCAGCAGCCGCGGUAAUUC